AUACGUAGGUGACAAGCGUUAUCCGGAUUUACUGGGCGUAAAGGGCGUGUAGGCGGUCUUGCAAGUCAGAAGUGAAAUUCCUGAGCUCAACUCGGGCGCUGCUUCUGAAACUGCAGGACUUGAGUGCUGGAGGGGAUAGCGGAAUUCCUAGUGGAGCGGUAAAAUGCGCAGAUAUUAGGAAGAACACCGGUGGCGAAGGCGGCUACCUGGCAGGUAACUGACGCUGAGGCGCGAAAGCGGGGGGAGCAAACCGGAUUAGAUACCCGGGGAGCCCACGCCGUAAACGAUGAAUACUAGGUGGAGGGGGUAUCGACUCCCUCUGUGCCGCAGUUAACACAAUAAGUAUUCCGCCUGGGGAGUACGGCCGCAAGGUUGAAACUCAAAUGAAUUGACGGGG
rnacentral:rRNA from 1 species